rnacentral:rRNA from 1 species
AUUGAACGCUGGCGGCAUGCCUUACACAUGCAAGUCGAACGGCAGCACGGGUGCUUGCACCUGGUGGCGAGUGGCGAACGGGUGAGUAAUAUAUCGGAACGUACCUUAUUGUGGGGGAUAACGCAGCGAAAGCUGUGCUAAUACCGCAUAAUCCCUAAGGGGGAAAGCGGGGACCGUAAGGCCUCGCGCAAUUAGAGCGGCCGAUACCUGAUUAGCUAGUUGGUGAGGUAAAGGCUCACCAAGGCAACGAUCAGUAGCUGGUCUGAGAGGACGAUCAGCCACACUGGGACUGAGACACGGCCCAGACUCCUACGGGAGGCAGCAGUGGGGAAUUUUGGACAAUGGGGGCAACCCUGAUCCAGCAAUGCCGCGUGAGUGAAGAAGGCCUUCGGGUUGUAAAGCUCUUUUGUCAGGGAAGAAACAGCAGCUCUAACACAGCUUGCGAAUGACGGUACCUGAAGAAUAAGCACCGGCUAACUACGUGCCAGCCGCCGCGGUAA